GGACGCCGAAGCACCUCGGGUCACCCCGAGGUGCGAGAGGGAACCCGGUGGGAAUCCGGGACUGUCCCGCAGCGGUGAGUGGGAACGACCGCCGUCACAUGCACUGGGCAACACGCCUGGGAAGCGACGGCCAGUAGGUCUGAUGCAGGUCAUCGGGGUGCCCGCGAGUCCGAAGACCUGCCGUCUGUGUCGUGCACGCC
rnacentral:ncRNA from 12 species